rnacentral:lncRNA from 1 species
CUUCCUCCAGAGUCACCAUGUGAUCCCUCAAUGAGGACACCAAUGGAAGGCAUCAUAAAUAAGAUAAGUCAUAUAAAAUAUAUAGAUUUAUGAUAAUUAAGACUGAGCUAACAGAUGAGAAAUCCUAGUCAUUGGCCAAGCAGCAUUUGUACCUAGUGUCUCUGUGUAUCAUUUGAGGCCCUAAUGCAGUGAGCAGAACUCAAGAGGGUAGUGGAAAGAUUUAUUGUAACAUUACUGAUUUUCUUUUUUUUUUUAAAUUUAUGUGUAAAAGUCUUUUGUCCGCACGUAUGUAUGUGCAUCACCUGCAUACCUGGUGUCCAGGAAGGUCAGAAGAGGGCAACCAAUUCCCUGGGGUUGGAGUUACAGAUAGUUAUGAGCAGCCUCGUGGGUGCUGGGAAUUAAACCUAGGUCCUUUGCAAGAACACAAAGUAUUUGUAACCACUGAGCAAUCUCUCCAGCAGCCCCCUCCCAUUUCCUUUGUAUUGUUAAGAGGAGUUUCAUAAGAGAAACUCAGAAGACAAGGGUGUGUGUGUGUGUGUGUGUGUUUGUGUGUGUGUGUGUGUGUGUGUGUGUGUGUGUGUGUGUGUGUGUGGUGUGUGUUUCCAUUUUCUGUAUUUGUGACAACAUGCCUAAUGCUGGCUAUUUUAUAAGCUCAUAAUUUUGGAUGUUGAAAAUCCAAGACCUAACAACUAUGCCUCUGGUGUCACAAUGUAGUGGCAUCUUGGCUUAUAAAACUGAGAGAUCUUACAGUUAAACAAAAGCCAAAGAGCAAGGAGAGAUAAAGUUUUUCUUGUGGCUGAAGCCUACCUGCCUGGAGCUUGCCUGGACUGGAUCAAUGGUUCUGCCAUCUAAAGAGAUUCAUUUGGCUUCAACCCCCAAUUGUGUGUUUACUCUUCAUGUCCCAGUCUAAAACUAGGGGGACAGCACCUAUGUCAGAGGAUUGGCACGAUCAUGAAGGACCUCUACGGUGCUUGCCUUUAUUGCAUUGUCCUGGCAUCACAGUUGUAUUUACUGUUAGCGGAUCAUGAAUCCCUGGAGGGCAAAGCCCUUGUUUUACCACAUACAGCAGUAACCACUAUAUUAAUGCUUAUGAGAGUAAAUGUGAAGUCCAUUCUGACCCCUUCACUCUGGUGAGAUGCUCAGAUAGCGUCUGUGUCACCCCAAUUCUUCGUGCUCUGCCUUUGCCAUUUCUUUACAUAACACCAGUGGUUUCCCGCCUCCCAAAAUAGACUAAUUCAAUUAUUCUGUAUUUAUCAGUUAGAACCAAUGGAAUGAAAAUAAGCUGCCAUAGCACAAAACCCCCAGAUGUUUGGGGUUAGUUUUCUAACACAGUGUUCAACUAUUUUACUUAUUUAAUGUUUUUUUUUCUUAAGAAACAAAACAAAACCAGUCUGCCCUGGGAUUUGGAAAUAGGAUCCGAUUCUCUUGGAGCCUCCCGCUCACUGCUGGGAGCCGUGUGGGCAUGAGGGACAGACAGGUAAUGGGAAACAGCUGCUUGGCCCAUGUCGACUCCCAAGCCCCAAAUUGGUGAUGAGGUGCCGAAGACAAAGGACAGGCAGUGAUGGCUUGGCUGGGGGGUUCUGUGAUCAACAGUUAAACUCUGAUGGAGUGAAGCAGAGUCUGCCUGCCUGGGCAGCCUCUGGUAUUAGCAGCAGUAAGUACAUACCCAGAGAGAUGAGCCUGACAGGCCCAGCCUGGCCUCCAUGCCUCUGAUGCUGGGAGAACAUCCCUAGCAGGCACUGAUGCUCUGGACCGCUCAUCCCAAGGUCCUGUCCUGCAGUGACCUGCUCACUCCCCUCCAUGAUGCUGCAAUAUGACAUGACCCCAAACAGCAGGCACAGCCAACUUUGGAAGACACCAUUUAGAUUAGGAACCAAGAAUUUCUUAUGAAGGGCCAGGAAGUAGGAAAAGAAUUGACGCUGCACAGAGAAGGUGGGUUUUGGUGUUAGUGCUCAAUGGUGCUCUUAUGGUUAUGUAAGCAGCCAUAGAUAACAUGUAAACGACUGGGCACAUCUAUUUACAGAAGCGUGUGGUGCUGGAUAGGGUCCACGACAUUUAUUUUGUUGGGCUUCUUGCUUCCUCAUUGGCCUCUCUGCUCAAACCCCAUGUGGUUUCUCACUCCCUCAGUAUGAAACCCAACUCCUGAGUGUGGACAGGAUGACCUGUAGGGCUGACUUUGCUUGCCCCUCUACCGUUGUUUAGGGAUCCCUAGCCCCAUGCCCAACCCAUUCCUUCCCCAAGUCCUGUGCGCAGCUGCUUCCUUAAGUACAGAAGGCCCCUGGUCCCUACUUCCCCUUUCAUAUGCUUCAUAUAUCCCCACUCAGCACAAACGCCAUUUCCUCAGAAAGACCCUUCCUCCAACACAUUAGAACAAGUGACCAUCCCCCACGUCCUGGUCAGGAGUUACCACGGCACCCAGUUUUAUUUUCUGCAUGGCACUUACCACUGCAGGGAAAGAUCUUCCCGUGGUUCUGUUUAUAUUCUUCACCCCCAUCAGCUCCAGGAGGACAGCAGCAGACUCUGUCUCUGGUGCCUCUGGCCCACACAGUUGGGGUACAGGAAGUAUGUGAGAGUGACCCGCUAUCUCCCUUGGCCUGUCAGUCUCUCUGUUCUCUCAACCACGUUGCUGAUAGAGCGUCUUUCAAAAAUGAAGACCCCGACCUCAGCCCAUUUCUACACUGAGUACUCUUAGACUAACAUUCAGACUCCCACCAUUGCCCCAGAGAUGCUGUAAAGAGGACCCCCUGCCUCCUGUCUGCAGACCAUAAUCCCUUCCUGAAGAGGAGGAUGCCUGUAUGUCUACUGGUGUGGCCCCAAAGGACACCUCUUGGCAAUGGAUGUGUUAUUGCAUUGAUAACAGACAACGGGUGAUGUUCCAGGAAAUUCUCUUCGAACAAAAGAAUUGGGGCUGCAGACACCUGACGCAUGAGUGUCUGGGAAGAUUACUUCUUGAGUUGAACUUGACCUUUGCCCACUGAAGCAGAGCAGCCCCUGAUUUAUCUAAAGGAAAUGGGACUUGGAGGCUUUGGAAUAAUGAGAAACACAACCAGAAAGGGCUGAGAUCCGGCACAUUCUCUCUCUCUCUCUGCCGGAAGGGUACAUGCAGGCUGAGGUCAUGAGACUCUGGUGGGCGUGGAAGCCCUGAAGGGGAACCUGGGAUUGGAACAGUGCUCUGCUCUGAAGCU